rnacentral:sRNA from 1 species
CCUCUAAUAAAUCAAAUUCUAGUAAUGUUCUUUCACUAAUGAUAGAACCGAGAGCUGGCUGUAUGUGUGUUUACGCUUUGACACUAAUUUUAUUCUCAAACGACGUCGUUUUAGACUGAUUAACAGUCACUAACGGAUAAUAACGGGUUUCUAGGUUCUAUUAAUUACUGAUAAAAACAUGUCUAUUUUGGUCAGGUCAACGAAUUGUUCAUAUCUUAAAUGGUAGUCAACGUUUAGUUCAUGUUUUAAAUGGCCAAGUUGAUGUUUAAAAUGACCACAAUUUAAAACUUGACUAAUAAAGUCGUUAACAGAUGAUAACAGACGUUAGAAGUUCCGUUAAUAACUGAUAACAUCAUGUCUAUUUUGGCCUGGUCGACGAAUGAUCAUGUUUUAAAAGUUAGUCAACGUUUAGUUCAUGUUUUAAACGACCGCAUACGAAGUUGACGAAUAAAAUGGCCAUUUUUUGAAAGUUGGGGAUUAAAUAACAUUUUUUCCUAAUUUUUAGUCAGUGUAGGUUUUAUAUCCUUUUUUGUUGGAUGAUUAUGUCUUGUGCCCUUCCAUUCAUACGUGACUAUGAUGAAUGAUAU